AGCAGCCGCGGUAAUUCCAGCUCCAAUAGCGUAUAUUAAAGUUGUUGCAGUUAAAAAGCUCGUAGUUGAAUUUCGGGGUCAGUAGGUUGGUCAUGCCACUGGUAUGUACUGGUCUCACUGAUUCCUCCUUCCUGAUGAACUGUAAUGCCAUUAAUUUGGUGUUGCAGGGAAUCUGGACUGUUACUUUGAAAAAAUUAGAGUGUUUAAAGCAGGCUAACGCCUGAAUACAUUAGCAUGGAAUAAUGAAAUGGACGUUCGAUCCUAUUUUGUUGGUUUCUAGGAUUGACGUAAUGAUUAAUAGGGAUAGUUGGGGGCAUUAGUAUUCAAUUGUCAGAGGUGAAAUUCUUGGAUUUUAUUGAAGACU
rnacentral:rRNA from 1 species